rnacentral:rRNA from 1 species
UGGGGAAUAUUGGACAAUGGGGGAAACCCUGAUCCAGCGAUGCCGCGUGAGUGAAGAAGGCCUUCGGGUUGUAAAACUCUUUCACCUGUGACGAUGAUGACGGUAGCAGGAGAAGAAGCACCGGCUAACUCCGUGCCAGCAGCCGCGGUAAGACGGAGGGUGCUAGCGUUGUUCGGAAUGACUGGGCGUAAAGGGCGCGUAGGCGGUUUUAUAAGUUGGGCGUGAAAGCCCCGGGCUCAACCCGGGAACUGCGUUCGAUACUGUAAGACUAGAGUAUGGAAGAGGAAAGUGGAAUUCCUAGUGUAGAGGUGAAAUUCGUAGAUAUUAGGAGGAACACCAGAGGCGAAGGCGGCUUUCUGGUCCAUUACUGACGCUGAGGCGCGAAAGCGUGGGGAGCAAA